CGCCGGCGAUGGCGAGUUCCUCGAGUGGGGGUUGCUAUGAAAACGUGGUUCGAGGAGGCUUGAAAUUGAAAGGCAGUACGUUGCAGGAGGUCGGUACGACGAGUACAAAGAAAAGAAAGAAGUCGAAGCAGGAGGAGGAAAUCGAGCAGCUCAAAGAGCUCGCACGC
rnacentral:SRP_RNA from 1 species